AGCUUUCUGCAUCCGUGCUCAGAUUUCGUCAUACACCAACCCAGUUGCGCUGAUCAGACUCCCAACAUAAGUGAAGCU
rnacentral:pre_miRNA from 1 species